UACGGAGGGUCCAAGCGUUAUCCGGAUUUAUUGGGUUUAAAGGGUCCGUAGGCGGGAAGAUAAGUCAGUGGUGAAAGCCUGUGGCUCAACCAUAGAAUUGCCAUUGAUACUGUCUUUCUUGAGUUUACAUGAUGUGGGCGGAAUGUGUCGUGUAGCGGUGAAAUGCUUAGAUAUGACACAGAACACCGAUUGCGAAGGCAGCUCACAAACGUAAUACUGACGCUGAGGGACGAAAGCGUGGGGAGCGAACAGG
rnacentral:rRNA from 1 species